AUUGAACGCUGGCGGCAUGCCUUACACAUGCAAGUCGAACGGCAGCACGGGAGCAAUCCUGGUGGCGAGUGGCGAACGGGUGAGUAAUACAUCGGAACGUGCCCAAUCGUGGGGGAUAACGCAGCGAAAGCUGUGCUAAUACCGCAUACGAUCUACGGAUGAAAGCAGGGGAUCGCAAGACCUUGCGCGAAUGGAGCGGCCGAUGGCAGAUUAGGUAGUUGGUGAGGUAAAGGCUCACCAAGCCGUCGAUCUGUAGCUGGUCUGAGAGGACGACCAGCCACACUGGGACUGAGACACGGCCCAGACUCCUACGGGAGGCAGCAGUGGGGAAUUUUGGACAAUGGGCGAAAGCCUGAUCCAGCCAUGCCGCGUGCAGGAUGAAGACCUUCGGGUUGUAAACUGCUUUUGUACGGAACGAAACGGCCUUUUCUAAUAAGGAGGGCUAAUGACGGUACCGUAAGAAUAAGCACCGGCUAACUACGUGCCAGCAGCCGCGGUAAUACGUAGGGUGCAAGCGUUAAUCGGAAUUACUGGGCGUAAAGCGUGCGCAGGCGGUUAUGUAAGACAGUUGUGAAAUCCCCGGGCUCAACCUGGGAACUGCAUCUGUGACUGCAUAGCUAGAGUACGGUAGAGGGGGAUGGAAUUCCGCGUGUAGCAGUGAAAUGCGUAGAUAUGCGGAGGAACACCGAUGGCGAAGGCAAUCCCCUGGACCUGUACUGACGCUCAUGCACGAAAGCGUGGGGGAGCAAACAGG
rnacentral:rRNA from 1 species